CACGUAGGCACCAAGCGUUGUCCGGAUUUAUUGGGCGUAAAGAGCUCGUAGGCGGUUUGUCGCGUCUGCUGUGAAAACCCGAGGCUCAACCUCGGGCCUGCAGUGGGUACGGGCAGACUAGAGUGCGGUAGGGGAGAUUGGAAUUCCUGGUGUAGCGGUGGAAUGCGCAGAUAUCAGGAGGAACACCGGUGGCGAAGGCGGCAUUCUGGACCGAUAUUGACGCUGAGGAGCGAAAGCCAGGGGAGCAAACGGG
rnacentral:rRNA from 1 species